GCAUGGGUUUAGAUUUAUGGCAGGCCGUGCCCAUGGGCCUCUCAUAGUGUCCCAUGCCAGAGCAAACCAGAGCCCCCAACCAUUGCCUUGCCUCCUAUCCCGUGGGCUUCCAGUACUGAAGCAGACUGCACAAAG